GGCGACGAGAUUUCGGUCAAAUCAAGUGUAUCUUCUUUGGCGGACGGGUGAGUAACGCGUGGGUAACCUGCCAUAUACAGGGGGAUAACACUUAGAAAUAGGUGCUAAUACCGCAUAAGCGCACAUGGCCGCAUGGCCAGGUGUGAAAAACUCCGGUGGUAUAUGAUGGACCCGCGUCUGAUUAGCUAGUUGGUGAGGUAACGGCCCACCAAGGCGACGAUCAGUAGCCGGCCUGAGAGGGUGGACGGCCACAUUGGGACUGAGACACGGCCCAAACUCCUACGGGAGGCAGCAGUGGGGGAUAUUGGACAAUGGGGGGAACCCUGAUCCAGCGACGCCGCGUGAGUGAAGAAGUAUCUCGGUAUGUAAAGCUCUAUCAGCAGGGAAGAAAGAAAUGACGGUACCUGAGUAAGAAGCCCCGGCUAACUACGUGCCAGCAGCCGCGGUAAUACGUAGGGGGCAAGCGUUAUCCGGAAUUACUGGGUGUAAAGGGAGCGUAGACGGUGAUGUAAGUCUGGAGUGAAAGGCGGGGGCCCAACCCCCGGACUGCUCUGGAAACUAUAUGACUGGAGUGCAGGAGAGGUGAGCGGAAUUCCUAGUGUAGCGGUGAAAUGCGUAGAUAUUAGGAGGAACACCAGUGGCGAAGGCGGCUCACUGGACUGUAACUGACGUUGAGGCUCGAAAGCGUGGGGAGCAAACAGGAUUAGAUACCCUGGUAGUCCACGCCG
rnacentral:rRNA from 1 species